GCGCCCGUAGUUCAACGGAUAGAACGCUUGUCUUCGGAACAAGCGAUGUGGGUUCGAUUCCUGCCGGGCGCA
rnacentral:tRNA from 1 species